rnacentral:rRNA from 1 species
GAUGAACGCUGGCGGCGUGCUUAACACAUGCAAGUCGAACGGAAAGGCCACAGCUUGCUGUGGUACUCGAGUGGCGAACGGGUGAGUAACACGUGGGUGAUCUGCCCUGUACUUCGGGAUAAGCUUGGGAAACUGGGUCCAAUACCGGAUAGGAAUCACAUGUGGGUGUGUGGUUGGAAAGCUUUUGCGGUAUGGGAUGAGCUCGCGGCCUAUCAGCUUGUUGGUGGGGUAAUGGCCUACCAAGGCGUCGACGGGUAGCCGGCCUGAGAGGGUGUACGGCCACAUUGGGACUGAGAUACGGCCCAGACUCCUACGGGAGGCAGCAGUGGGGAAUAUUGCACAAUGGGCGCAAGCCUGAUGCAGCGACGCCGCGUGGGGGAUGACGGCCUUCGGGUUGUAAACUCCUUUCGUCAGGGACGAAGCGAAAGUGACGGUACCUGGAUAAGAAGCACCGGCUAACUACGUG